rnacentral:rRNA from 1 species
GUUGCUGGCCCUUUCGGGGGCAUGUGCACACCCACCAUCCUCAUCUCUCCACCUGUGCACCUCUUGUAGACCUGAAUUGACUUUCCGAGGCAACUCGGUCGGGAAGAUUGCUGUGCUCUGUGAGCCAGCUUUCUUUGCAUGUCUAGGCCUAUGUUUUUCAUAUACCCCUAUAGAAUGUAACAGAAUGUAUCAUUGGGCCUUGUGCCUAUAAACCUUAUACAACUUUCAGCAACGGAUCUCUUGGCUCUCGCAUCGAUGAAGAACGCAGCGAAAUGCGAUAAGUAAUGUGAAUUGCAGAAUUCAGUGAAUCAUCGAAUCUUUGAACGCACCUUGCGCUCCUUGGUAUUCCGAGGAGCAUGCCUGUUUGAGUGUCAUUAAAUUCUCAACCUUAUUAACUUUUGUUGAUAAUGGAUUGGAUUGUGGGGGUUUCUUUUGCUGGAUUCUUCACAGAGAUCAGCUCCCCUUAAAUGCAUUAGCUGGUGCCCCGCGUGGACCAUCUAUUGGUGUGAUAAUUAUCUACGCCGUGGAUGUCUGCAAUCAUAUGGGUUUCGCACUGCUUCUAACCGUCUGUUCAUUCGGACAAUACAUGACAAUUUGACCUCAAAUCAGGUAGGACUACCCGCUGAACUUAAGCAUAUCAAUAAGCGGAGGAAAAGAAACUAACAAGGAUUCCCCUAGUAACUGCGAGUGAAGCGGGAAAAGCUCAAAUUUAAAAUCUGGCGGUCUCCGGCCGUCC